GAUCCUGGCUCAGGACGAACGCUGGCGGCGUGCCUAAUACAUGCAAGUCGAACGAGAGCGACCGGUGCUUGCACUGGUCAAUCUAGUGGCGAACGGGUGAGUAACACGUGGGUAACCUGCCCAUCAGAGGGGGAUAACAUUCGGAAGCGGAUGCUAAAACCGCAUAGGUUCUACAGUCGCAUGACUGGAGAAGGAAAAGAGGCUUCGGCUUCUGCUGAUGGAUGGACCCGCGGUG
rnacentral:rRNA from 1 species